rnacentral:rRNA from 1 species
UACAGAGGGUGCGAGCGUUAAUCGGAAUUACUGGGCGUAAAGCGCGCGUAGGCGGCUUUGCAAGUCGGGUGUGAAAUCCCCAGGCUUAACCUGGGAACUGCAUUCGAGACUGCAUUGCUAGAGUAUGGGAGAGGGAAGUGGAAUUUCAGGUGUAGCGGUGAAAUGCGUAGAUAUCUGAAGGAACAUCAGUGGCGAAAGCGACUUCCUGGACCAAUACUGACGCUCAUGUGCGAAAGCGUGGGGAGCAAACAGGAUUAGAUACCCCUGUAGUCC